rnacentral:pre_miRNA from 1 species
UGUGUACUCCCUCCAUCCGGAAAUACUUGUCAUGAAAAUGGAUAAAAGGGGAUGUAUCUAGACAUAUUUUAGUUCUAGAUACAUCUCUUUUUAUCCAUUUUGAUGACAAGUAUUUUCGGACGGAGGGAGUACAAG